rnacentral:lncRNA from 1 species
UUUUGCAAGAUACAUGGAGAACUUAGAGACUGCGUUCCAGACACUUGAAGCCACUAAGUAGGGCUGGGAGUGGAUCUGAAAACAGGAGUGCUAGUUGGCAGCUGGCAUGUGUCUUCUGAAGGGAAGACCAGAGGGGAAGCAUGAACCCACCAGUCUCUCUUUCAGGAAGCUGCUGGUGAAUCAACACUGAGAAUGCCACCUCCAGAAACUGAGAAGAUCCUGGUUCUCCCAUUCUGAAGAUGGUAAUAAAGAUACUCCAGACAACAGAAAAUACCGUGUCUAUUUGUCUGAUAUAGUGUUCAUUUGUCUGUUGUUUCCAACAACUGCAAGCUUUUUUUUUUUUAGGGUUGCACCUGUGGCAUAUGGAAGUUCCCAGGCUAGGGGUCGAAUCAGAGCUACAGCUGCCGGCCUGCACCACAGCCACAGAAACACCAGAUCCAAGCCGAAUCUGUGACCUAUACCACAGCUCGUGGCAACACUGAAUCCUUAACCCACUGAGCGAGGCCAGGGAUGGAGCCCACAUCCUCAUAGAUCCUAGUUGAGUUUGAUUCUGCUGAUCCACAAUGGAAACUCCUGCAAGUCUGUUUUUUAAAUAAUUUACAUAUGGUUCUAUAGAGUAUAAAUGAAAGGCCAAUGCUCCAUGGAAAUUAAAAGGGAAUAAAGAGGGAUAUACUGGUGUAGUUGCCUGACUG